AUGAACCACACCACACUUGCCACCCACACACCGCGAAACUCAUGCAUAAAUCCUCCGGGCCUCUGCUACCUAUGUAGCUCCUGCUCGAAGUUUCCACAAACACUUGUGUGUGUACAUGCGCACCAUGGCCAUGCACGCCGCAAUGACCACCACGCAUCUCCCCAUCGUCCUCCUCUUUGUCUCCGCCGUGAUCAUGUCCGGCGCUUCGGCUUGGUCACCGUCGUCACUGCAGUUCCACUACAUCGACCCUCGCAACUUUACCAUGGCCGUAACCGCAGCCUCUUCGUCGGGGCGGCCGGCCUGCUCGGCCUCGGCUGGGGGCCCAUGUCGCUCGUCGGGCAGCUCGGCGGCGCGGCAGGUGGCGCGUUCAGCUACUGCCUCGCCAGCCCCGACGCCGGCGCCGGGUCGCUCGUGCUCGGCCGGGACGAAGCCAUGCCGGUGGGCGCCGUGUGGGUGCCCCUGCUGCGCAACGCGCAGGAGCUGAGCUUCUACUACGUGGACCUGACAGGGCUGGGCGUCGGCGGCGAGAGGCUCCCGCUGCAGGACGGGCUCUUCGACGUCACAGAGGACGGCAGCGGCGGCGUAGUGAUGGACACCGGCACGGCCGUGACGCGGCUCCCGGCCGAUGCCUACGCCGCGCUGCGGGACGCGUUCGCGGACGCCGUCGGCGGCGGCCUCCCGCGCGCCGGGCGUGCCGCUGCUGGACACGUUUUACGACCUGAGUGGGUACGCGAGCGUGCGCGUGCCGACGGUGGCCCUCUACUUCGGGCGCGACGGCGCGGCGCUGACGCUGCCGGCGAGGAACCUGCUGGUGGAGAUGGGCGGCGGCGUGUACUGCCUGGCGUUCGCGGCGUCGGCGUCGGGGCUGUCCAUCCUCGGCAACAUACAGCAGCAAGGGAUCCAGAUCACCGUCGAUUCCGCCACUGGCUACGUUGGCUUCGGACCAACUACGUGCUAGCACAAGCCUAG
rnacentral:rRNA from 1 species